AUCAUUUACUUCUUCCGUUUGAAGGUAAUACAGUUUGGUUAGUAUGCGUACAACCGACUGUAAAUUUUAGUGCAUGUAAAGUGUACUGUUUCAGUGAUUCACGAUUGUGCAAGCCUAUACCAGGUAGUUCACUCAGUAUAGUAAUGUUUUGCUGAACUAAUUUCUUGACCAGAACCAAAUCUUUUAUUUUAAUAUUUUAUUUCUGGUUUUAGUUACCUUAUUCUUUAAUUAAAUUAUUUUGAAAUAGUACUUACCCCUGUUCCUUCAUUUACAUUUUCUAAGUACUAGGUAGAUGCAUCAGAGUAGGAUAAUUGUAAUAUAUAUAUAUAUAUAUAUAUAUAUAUAUAUAUUUUUUUUUUUUUUAGUCGAGAGAAAAAAUAGUUGAACCCGUCGCCCGCCCUAAAUCAAAGUUUUGGGUAAAUCACACCAUAGGAAGGGGUAGGGGGCGUUACACUUGUUUUAUUAUUUAAAAUGCAUCUGAUCACUAUGCAUAAUAAUCUCUAAACAAUGUGAAUGAUCACCACAACAGCUUAAACAGAAACUUUGCAAAACACAGAAUUUUUGCCAAUACUUUGUUACAAAUGAAGCACUGCCAUUACAAAAAUGUUGCCUUUCUCCUAUAAAAUCUGCUGUAUAUGUCACAGGGCUCUUAUUUCUUACAUGUGGAAUAAGGACUAAACUGAGCAUGCGUGAAGCUAAUCAGGUGUUUGGUAUCUAGUUCCUAAUUGGAGAGAUUGGAAGUGUUGCAAUUGACCUGUGAUUUCAACCAUCUCUCCUACGUGCAUCGCCAAAUAGAGAACCAAGGAAUAAAAACAACAAUAUGAAUACCUUCAACUUUUUCCGCAAAAACAAGACAAAGAUGUCUACAAUCAAAGACCCAUCAGACCUUCUCGACCAUCUUAAAGACAAUGAUAUUAUUACAAUGGAGGAAUAUAAUAAAGCGCUUUCUGCCAGGAACACUGUAUACCGGGCCUUGGAAUUUAUUGAAAAUCAUGGUCCUGAGAAGGUUGAAAAGUUCUGGGAAUGUGUGGACCAGGACCAUAUUUUGGAGAAGUAUCCCCAAUUCUCUGAACUGCUUAAUAUUUUGAAAACUUCACAAGUGAAAAAAACAGAUGUUGAAACAGGGAGGUCACAAAACAACAAUGAGAGAAACCAAGCUGGGCAAUCAUCACAAGGGACAAAAGAACAGAAAGUUAAGAGCAAGGGACUAGAGGAAAUCUUAGCCUUGAUCAAGAACAAAAAACUUCUGCCUAUUACAUGUGGGGAGGAAAAAGCACUUUUAAUCAGAAAAGAACUGUCGGGAAAAAAGUUAUGUAUUCGCAGACGGAAAAAGCUCAUGACCCCUGUUCAAUUUGUGAAAUUGUGUAAAAAAGAAAAAUGGAAACGAAGUAUAAAAUGCCAUGGAAAAUCCCUCUAUUUUCUUAUUACGAGGGGCAUUUUAAAGGUGACCUAAUAGCUGGUGUCCGUACUCUUCUGGUUAAAUUAGUCAUUAAAUGUGUAAUGUAAAUCUUUAUGAGCACGGCUUUGAUCAGAAAUGACUUAUAACUAUAACCGAAAUACAAAGUUAAUGGGUCACAUAAUUAACAACAACAUUAAUAAAAUUAGGAAACAGAAACCCUGCAUAGAGAAUAAUUUUACAUGCAGCCAAGAAUCUAACCAAAUGUAACACUGAACAUGAGGUUAUCUGAAUGUAACAAUGUCUGUUUUAUUUCCUAUACAGUAUAAACUGAUUUGUUGUUUCAACUUAAAAAUUAAGUUCCCUGGCUGCCUUAAAAUUUUUAAUUUAUUUAGCUCAAAAAUUUCAGUUAUUAGAUGAAUUUGAUGCAAACGUAUUAGUUAGAUUAAUUUAUAUUUUUAAGUUGGAAAAAACAAAUCAUUUUUACAGUGAUACAAGUGUGAACAAAUAUGAAAUAAAAUAACUGCCUUACAGACUUUUCAUCGUGCCACUUAUUGUUACAUCUUUAUUAAUAAUACAGUAUAUAUUUAAUAAAAGUUGAAUAAGUGAA